rnacentral:rRNA from 1 species
AACCAGCUCUUCAAGUGGUCGGGAAUUUUAUUGGGCUUAAAGUGUCCGUAGCCGGUUUGAACAGUUCCUGGUUAAAUCUGGUAGCUUAACUAUCAGUCAGCUAGGAAUACUAUCUUACUAGAGGGUGGGAAAGGUCUGGGGUACUUCAGGGGUAGCGGUGAAAUGCGAUAAUCCUUGGGGGACCACCAGUGGCGAAGGCGCCAGACUGGAACACGCCUGACGGUGAGGGACGAAAGCCAGGGGAGCGAACGGGAUUAGAUACCCCGGUAGUCCUGGCCGUAAACGAUGCGUGCUAGGUGUUGGUAGGGCUAUGAGCUGUAUCAGUGCCGUAGGGAAACUGUUAAGCGCGCCGCCUGGGAAGUACGCUCGCAAGAGUGAAACUUAAAGGAAUUGGCGGGGGAGCACCACAAGGGGUGAAGCCUGCGGUUC